rnacentral:lncRNA from 1 species
GUUUGUUAGCAAGUUAUAUCAUUCUUGCUAAGACAUUAUAGUUCAAUAUUUAUAAUAAUUUAACCAAUCUUAUCUAAAGACUUAUUUACACAACUUAAAAGUUUCAACCAUGAGUUGUGUUAUAUAGAAGAAUUAGAAAAUAUAAAUCCCGUAACUUAUUAGAUAAGAAUAACCAAAUUAUGUGGCAUUAUUGUUAACUAUUUAAUAUAAAGUGGUGUCUCUAUGGAGAGUCUAGAGGGAUGAAUUCUCAUCUCUAUUUUGAAAAUGAUAAACUUCAAAAAUAAAAUGCUUAUUGUAAUAAACUUGCAUAGUGUCAUAUUAUAUAAUAUCUACUUUAAAAUUUUAUUCAAUUUCUUGAUGUAGAAGAAAGUUAUUCAAUGCCUACAAUAUUUUUAUAAUCUAAAUAUAAUGAAGUGAUUAAAAUCAAUCUUUUCAACAACCAUAAGUUUUCUAAG